AUUUGAACAAAAUGGUACGCGUCAAAAAGCUGGCUGAUGCCCAUCUUAAUGCAAAUUAAUCCGUUGAACGUGACCAUCCAAUAGAAGUAGAGCACAGGGAGGACAGGGGGAAGUCUCUCGGUGGUCCUUUGUUCUAGACGUCCUACUGCAAAAAUGCUCAGGGAACUUUA